rnacentral:rRNA from 1 species
UUAGAACGUCGUGAGACAGUUCGGUCCCUAUCUGCCGUGGGCGCUGGAGAAUUGAGGGGGGCUGCUCCUAGUACGAGAGGACCGGAGUGGACGCAUCACUGGUGUUCGGGUUGUCAUGCCAAUGGCAUGCCCGGUAGCUAAAUGCGGAAGAGAUAAGUGCUGAAAGCAUCUAAGCACGAAACUUGCCCCGAGAUGAGUUCUCCCUGAGACUUUAAGUCUCCUGAAGGAACGUUGAAGACGACGACGUUGAUAGG